GCCAGUUUCUUUUUGUGUCUGUGUCUUCCGGAUUUGUUCUGGGGAGCUGAGGUCUGAGAUUGCACCCUGCUCCUUCAUAUUGCCGUCUCCCCUGUUCCUCCGAAUCCGCCAGCUGCUGAGUCCCAGGUGCUUCCUGCACUGGCUGCUGUCCCACGGUGCAGGGGAUUGGGCUGGGCACCUGGGUUCCUCCGCGCCGAGGUCCCUGGGAUGGCAGAGAGGUUCGGGGCUGUGCCUCACCAAUGCUCCCCCAAUGGCGGUGGGGCCUCGGGGUGUGGCAGGGGCCUCACUGAGGGAUCCUCUUUUAUUUUGAGCUAAGGUCUCCUCUGUGGCCCAGGCUGGCCUGUGGGGCUCCAGGCUGAGGUAGUGGGGUCAGAAGUCACAGGCCACCGUACCCGUUUCCUUUUACACCUAAUGGUGGUGUAGCCCACAGGCCUGCAGUGUGUGAGUGCACCUGGCUCAACUGGGGUCCCCACUGUGGCGCCCUGUCACUUUUGUCUGAAUCAGGGGUUUUUCAGGGGCCCAACAUCUUUGAAUCCAGGAAUGAGGAAGAGGGGGGAUAUGACGGGAGCUGGCGAACCUUGAGGAAGCUGCAUGCUCCUUCUUAGUGUGACCAGACCUGGACAGGAGUGGCUGGGAUGACCAGCUUGGAUCAUGCAGGGUGAUGUUUUAACGAAAUUCAAUGCUCUUGCCACCUGGUGGACAUAUUGAGAACUGCAGCCUCCAGAGGCUCAUGAAAAUUGAGCCAAGUACUGAGACACAGUAGUAGACAAACCAAGUGCAAUCUGCUCUCUAUUGUUUUCUCCCAAUAGAAUCCCAGGCAGGUUUGAUGGGGACAGCCUCGGAGUGCAAACACUGGUAGUGGGGGAUGGAGCUGGACAUCUCAGGGAGCAGUUCUUAAUGCUGUGUGAAAAUUAGAAGCACCUGGGAAGACUGUAAAAAAUCUAGUAAAUCGAUGUGACUCACUCAAGGGAACAAUGACAUCCAUUCCCUGUGGCGGGUCUGGCAUGUGUUGGAGCUUCUGAGCCUGAAUUCCAUCAAAGUAUAAAGCUGAUUAGCUGAGCCUGUGGCAUCUGAGUGUGAUUGGCAGAGCCUGCCAUCUGCAUGUAUCUCAUUGGCUGAGCUAGAGUAUCAUCUGGAUGUAUCUGAUUGGCUGAGCCUGGGUAGCAUCUGGGUGUCUCUGAUUGGUUGUACCUGGAUAGCUCCUGGGUUGAGCCUAGGUCACACGCCUACAGGCUAAUGCAGAGGAGGCCGGGAAGGUGGGAUUGAGGCUUCUUCUGGUGCAAACCACAGGGUGGGAAGUUGUCCAAACAGGUCCUUUUGUUAGCUAGGCAUGGCGGUCCACACCUGUAAUCCCAGUACUCUAAUCCCAGUACUCUGGGAUUUGGCCUGGUGUGCCACCAGAGCUGGCUGAAUUUUAAAAUUAGUGUUUGACCACAGCUGAUUAACACCAUUCUCUAGUGAACUUCUGGAUACAGAAAUAAAUCCCAAAUAAUUUAAACAAGCUCAACGAUGAUACUAAUUAAAACCGCAGUGGCCCACAUUUAAAAUUGGGCAGAAAGCAGGGUCCAGCGUUUCCAGCCCUGGGCUUGCUGGAUUGCCCUCCAGGUCACCAGCCUCACUGUGCCUCCCACGCAGACACGAGUCAGCUGGGACCCGGUCACUGCGACAGGUGACCUUAGCUUUAACGCAGGCCUGCACAGAUCAUCCUCAAUGGAAGUCUUGUUUUAUCCCUGGUUGCCUGGUCCUACUGGCAGCCUCCGCGAGGCCCUGGGACCUGCUGUGGGGUCGUACUGCCCUCUGGUGGUCACCGAUGAGCACAGCAUCGCUGGAGCUGAGCUUGCUGCGGAAAUAAACUGGCCCGUCCUUUCAACUCAGUUCCUUCUUUACCAGCGUGAAAGAUGGCGCUCACACCACAAAUUGAUGUAUCUCAGAAACACGCAGUGUGAAUAAGACCAGAAGCCAAGGGGAACCUUUCUGAGUGCUUGCAGAUGAAGUUCUGGAUGAGGCCCAGUGGAGUGCUCUUGGUGACAGCAAUCUAGGGACGCAGAUGUAGGGGGAGGGGCUCGAGGAUGCUGACACAUUAGCCUGGGAGGCCGCAAACUGUUGGUUUCUGUCAGAACCGGCUCUUGAUGAUGCAUCAUUGUAACAGAAAAGCAGCUGGGCAUCAAGGCAAUUUAAUUUCAGGGUCAAGGGGAGGUCACCUAUUCACCUAAGACCUCUCCUGUGUGAUGUCUGAUUCGAUUUGCACUGCUAAUGGAAACCUAAAAUAGCGAGAUCCUUUCCUAAGCAAUCUACUCCCUGGCUCUAAGCAGAAUGUGUCUUGGUGAUUUUGGUGGUGGCAGGCAGGGAUGGAUGGACAGAUCAGAUUACAGAUGCCGCCAUGCUAAGCAAAGGGGCUGGGUGGGCUGGAGUCUUCACGUGACUGAUCCCUGGGUGACCCUGGUCCAGGCUCUGCCCCACUCCAGCCAGAAGCCAGCCCCUCCCAUGAGAACGUCUCCUCUCGUCCUCAAAGACGCCUGCCAGCAGAUCACUGGGAGCUGGAUGGCAACAUUACAGGCUCAUUAAGGCCACUUUGCUCUGUCCAUCCAGCCACCAGCCCUCCUGUCUGCUUCAUCAACUACCUCUGACAGUCCAACCACUGCUCCAAAACCCUGUCACUCCGUCCACUUACUCAUCCAAACAAGUGCCCACUCACUCGCCCCCUCACUCACCCACCUAGCAUCCACCCCAGCUUCCAGACAUUCACACGUGCAAACAACCCCCUACUCACACUACACGACCAUUCGGUCAUCCAUCCAGUCCAUCCAGGGUUCGAGACAUCCUGAUGUAGCCAACCAUCCAUCGAGUUAUCCUAACACUUACCUCCUGUUUAGCCAUCCAGUCUCUAAUGAGUACCGAGCCACUUUCUGAUUGCUCAACCAUCCAGUUACCCAACUCAUCAUCCACCCACCAUGCACCCAACCAUCCAUUCAUCUAUCUGUCCAAAUGGCCAUUCACCUAUACAAUCGCCCAUCUAUGGUUCCAGACACACAGUCACAUGUCACUUAAUGGCAGAGAUAUUUUGAGAAGCAUAUUGUUAGAUGAUACGGCUUGUGUCUAGAUGUCCCCCCAAAGCCUCAUGCAGUCACAGGUGGGGUUUUACAGGGGUGGCUGGAUCUAGUGUGUGUUUCUGGGGUUAGAGUGCAUGAUCACUAAAUAUUUCUGGGUAGGAUUAAGGGUGCUCCACCCUGGAUAAAAAUAUAAGGGUUGUUAAGUGUGCUCGUCACUUGCUGCUGGGAUGCUUUUGCUGAAUUCUUCAUGCCAUGAACUGUUUCUCUCUGUGAUGUUCUCUUUGAUGCCACCCUGCCUUGCAGCCAGCUGAUUGUGGACUGAAACCUCUACAAACUGUGAGCUAAACAAAUCUUCCCACCUUUAACUUUGGGUGUCAGAUAUUUUGCCUCAGCUACGAGAAAAGUAACUAAGACAGAUGAUUUUUUCCUCAUGUGGCUAUUUGGUGAUACAAUCUUACAGGGCCACUGUGUGUGCAGUCCUUGGGUGACUGCCACCCUGUGUGGUGCCGGACUUUAGUGCCAUCCUUACCCCCAUCCUAUCAUGGAUUGUGCUUGGUAUCAGGCUCUGUGCUUUGAGAUACAGAGGUGAAGUCAACCACGCCCACCGCUCAGGAGCUGAGUGCGUGUGAGGGUGUCCCUCACCGGGGACAGCUUCUAGCAAUGCUGGAGUCCAGCGCUGAGGUUCUGAUUACUGGGUCAGCUCCCAUCUCCGCUGUCACACAGAUCAGCCAACACAGCUUGGGGAAGGAGGGUACAUUUCUCCUUAAUGUCUGACCCCAUGGCCAGGCCCUCUCUGGUCCUCUAGGGCAGUAACAAGACAUCUUGGGGACCUCUCCAGACCCCCCCACCCUGCCCCCCACUGCAUCCUUGACUCCUUGCUGGGUUUUGGUAAAGUCCUAUCACUACAGUGGCAGUUGGUCAUAUUUUCUUUUCUUUUUUUUUUGUCUUUUUCCUUUUUAUCGGUACCGGGGAUCGAACUCACGACUGCCUGCUUGCAAGGCGGGCGCUUAUGCCACUGAGCUAAAUCCCCAGCCCCUUUUCCCAUUUUUUUUUAAAGUUGGUCGUAUUUUCAAAACCAACAUCUUACCUUCUUCCCUUAAUUAUAUUAGGAAUAGCUGCUGAUUAGAUUUCCUUUGGGGGACCAGCCCUGCCCAACUUUCUGCUCCCAAGAGAAAUCAAGCCUCAACCCAGCUCCACCAAUGCGGCUGUGACCCCACUGUACCAUCACAGCUUCCGUCCGCGCCCCUCGGCCUCCAGAGCGACGUGGCGGCCUAAGGCACCGGGCGCCGUCCAGGCGCCACCAGGAGGGCUCAGGAAAGGACAGAAAGCAAGAGUCUCCCCACAGUCCCCAAGGUCCAAGAGUGAUUGUCCCCCCAAAGCACAGCCUGGAGUAGAGAGUGCUUAAAUUAGAACUGCGAACCACCCCGCAUGCCAGCUUACAAAAAACCAAACCCAUCCAACAACUGAGGAAAUCAACGACACAGGCACAAGAGCGCAGUACCGGGGUAUGAGAUUCGUCCAUAAAUUAAAAGGAAAUAAGGAACCUGCUUCCUCCUCGUCGCCGGCCCCCCGCCAGCAGGCCCCUGCUCCUGCUCUGCGAGUCCACCAUGGCCCCUUCUUCCCACCGUCAAAAAUCUGAAGCCAGUGCUGGGGCCUCUGCUGCUCAGAACCCCUGUGCAGGACGGCUUCUGGGGUGGCCACUGGACACAUCCUCUGCGUGCAGGCCCCUGCCUGCUGUCCAGCGCCUGGGCUCUUGGCAGGGAGCGAGGGAUGGUGGGUGUGAUGGCAGGUGCUAUAAAUACUCCAGCUCCAGGGCGUGCCGAAGCGCCUCCAGGUCGGCGUGGCAGGAUAUCCGCCAGAAAGGCAUGUUGUGCUGGAACACAGAGCAGCGGCCACAGGUCACGCGGGGGACGAGAGGAUGGCUCUUUCCCAAACUAUGCCUUGCAGAACCUCUAGGGGACCCAUGUCCGGCCAGCGCCACCCCCGCCCCAGUGUGGCCUGGUCAUCUCAGUUCUUGUGGGGCUGAGGGGGAUGCUUGGCAGACUCUGGGCCCUGGACACACCCAGAAGGAAGUCCACCCCCUUCUACUCAUUAGGUUUGCAAAUGUUUAAGCCAUGAGAGCCCAGCCCCCAGCCUGCCUGCGGCUCCGACAGCUGGUAAUGCAGCCCUACAAGACUGGGAACUUUGGCAGUUCUUCGGGUUGAGCCUGGAGCCUUCACACUGAGCUACCUCCCCAGUCAUUUUUAAAAUUUUGAGACUAGGUCUCAAUAAAUUGUUCAGGCCAGGCUCGAA